GCCAUGCAGGGAGCGUCCUGGACGCAGACCCGUCUGCGCAGGGCUGCGCAGCCUUGAGCAGCCUGACUGCGCAGGCAGACUGGGGCUCUGUCCACCCGGCUGCCGACCCUCAGCGCACAUUUCAGGAAUACGCGCUCCUGCUGCCAUGGGAACGGCGGACUUUCCCCCUGAGUGAAGAGGAUGAGGAGGCCCUGAAAGCUGAGGAGGACGCUGUGGCCUGCCUGCGGUCCGACAGCGAAUGCACGGACACCUGCUCCGAGCACAGCCUCUCCGGCCCUGACUGCGGCACCACGGCGCCCUCUGCUGGAGGCAGGAGGAGAGACACGCUAACGGCUAACAGCGGGAAUUAACCAACGUUUGCUAAGCCAGCUGAGAUUUCUCCACUGCACCACAUUCAGAGUACAGGGCCUUUCUGGAACAUGUGACCGAAGGGGAGAAGCCAUCAUCCUGUGAUCCCUGAAUGCAAACACACAUUCGCAGGAAGUGACAUCACACCCACCAUAGAUAUGUGUGGUCUACAUCCCACCCCGAUAACUCCUUUUUAUGUGUUGCGUGAGACAGACAAUGACAUCAGUUUUUAUCAUCUUUUCCACAGCCCCAAUCUUUCUGUUCCCUCCAAAAAAGAUUCUUAAAAUGAACUGUCGUGUUCUGCGCUCAUAUGCAUGUUCAGUGUCUCAUUCUGCAGAAGAGACUGGCCUUUUUGGUUGUUAUAUAAUCUAUGGAUUAGCAGUUUGUCAGUCCUCUGAAAUGUUUGAGAACCUAUUUUUAUUGUGACAACAGUGUAUAUAGUUCAUCUGUUACAUUUUUUUUUUACAUUUUGCCUGCCAUUUUUUUAAACCUACAAAGACAUUGUACUUAAUUAUUAUAAGUAUUUUGACUUAUUUUUAUUUUUUUACUUUCAAAUUAUUUUCAAUCACCAUUUCCUUUCAGUCAGAAUGGACAUACAGUUGAUUACAUGAUAUACAUGCCACUCCUUUAGCAUGAACCAUCCAUUUUGACAUUUUGUGAAGUUUUCACAUAAAGGUACACUAUAUUGGUCAUUUUGGCCAACUGGGUAGCAUUGUAAUGUAUAUUACAUCAUUAAAAAUGUACACAUUGA